AACGCUGGCGGCGUGCCUAAUACAUGCAAGUAGAACGCUGAAGGAGGAGCUUGCUUCUCUGGAUGAGUUGCGAACGGGUGAGUAACGCGUAGGUAACCUGCCUGGUAGCGGGGGAUAACUAUUGGAAACGAUAGCUAAUACCGCAUAAGAGUAGAUGUUGCAUGACAUUUGCUUAAAAGGUGCAAUGCAUCACUACCAGAUGGACCUGCGUUGUAUUAGCUAGUUGGUGAGGUAACGGCUCACCAAGGCGACGAUACAUAGCCGACCUGAGAGGGUGAUCGGCCACACUGGGACUGAGACACGGCCCAGACUCCUACGGGAGGCAGCAGUAGGGAAUCUUCGGCAAUGGACGGAAGUCUGACCGAGCAACGCCGCGUGAGUGAAGAAGGUUUUCGGAUGUAAAGCUCUGUUGUAAGAGAAGAACGAG
rnacentral:rRNA from 1 species